rnacentral:rRNA from 1 species
GCUGGCGGCGUGCCUAACACAUGCAAGUCGAACGCGGUUACCCCGCAAGGGGUGACUGAGCGGCAAACGGGUGAGUAACACGUGGGUGACCUGCCUUCGAGUGGGGGAUAACGUUUCGAAAGGAACGCUAAUACCGCAUGACAUCCUGCCUUUGGACAGGCGGAGAUCAAAGCCGGGGAUCGUAAGACCUGGCGCUUGGAGAGGGGCCCGCGUCCGAUUAGCUAGUUGGUGAGGUAACGGCUCACCAAGGCGACGAUCGGUAUCCGGCCUGAGAGGGCGGACGGACACACUGGGACUGAGACACGGCCCAGACUCCUACGGGAGGCAGCAGUGGGGAAUUGUUCGCAAUGGGCGCAAGCCUGACGACGCAACGCCGCGUGGAGGAUGAAGGUCUUCGGAUUGUAAACUCCUGUUGAUCGGGACGAACAACCAUCGGGAUAACACCCCGGAGGUCUGACGGUACCGAUUGAGGAAGCCCCGGCUAACUCUGUGCCAGCAGCCGCGGUAAUACAGAGGGGGCAAGCGUUGUUC